rnacentral:rRNA from 1 species
UACGUAGGGGGCAAGCGUUGUCCGGAAUCAUUGGGCGUAAAGAGCGCGUAGGCGGUCCGGUAAGUCCGCUCUGAAAGUCCGGGGCUCAACCCCGGGAGGCGGGCGGAUACUGUCGGGCUAGAGUCCGGAAGAGGCGAGUGGAAUUCCUGGUGAGCGGUGAAAUGCGCAGAUAUCAGGAGGAACACCAAUGGCGAAGGCAGCUCGCUGGGACGGUACUGACGCUGAGGCGCGAAAGCGUGGGGAGCAAACAGG